UACCAGGUGAUUUAGUGGUUAGAAUUCCUGGUUUUCACCCAGGCGGCUCAGGUUCGAUUCAUGGAGCGGUAG
rfam:Schistosoma mansoni strain Puerto Rico chromosome 1, complete genome